UCUCACUGAUUGAUGUGCAGGGCCUGGGGAUUGCAACUCGUGGGGGCUUCAGCUUCCAAGCUGCAGCCUCGAAAUAAGGCGGCAACUUCCUCUCCUGGCAGGCCGAUGGGGAGAGUUGCUGGGCUUAAGCCCUCAUUUCAGUUCAGACAAUUAAAUUCAACAAGCAUUUAUCGGUCUCUGAGGACAUGCCAGACAUUGUUCUUCCUGCUGGGAUAAAAAGGUGACUAAAAUAUAGUUCCUGUCCUUGGAAGCUCAUAACUACAAUCAGCACCAUAGAAGUACUUGCAGAAAUAACACAGUGUGUAUUUCAUACCAUGUUUGCCCGAUAUUGCUUAAAUUAGGUCUUUGCAACCCUAUGGGAUAGAUACUGUUAUUUACAUCAUUUCGGAUAGGGGAACUGAGGCACAGAGAAGUUAAGUAACUUACCCGAGGUAGCAAACAGUGGUAGGUAGUAGAGCUGGGCUUUGAACCCGUGUCUGGCUGACUCACGAGCCCAAGUUUGAACCUCUUCGCUCAAUUUGUCAGCAGGGCCCAACACUAUUUUCGAGUUGGAACUCUUUCCCAGCCACUCUUCUGCCACUCCCACCCCUUGUCUCCUACAUCUCCCUCCCACCCGCGAAACCCGCCGGGGAACUGGGAAGCUGGCCGAAACGACGGCGGCAUUCGCGCUGGGAAAGAGUGCACAAGCAAGGGACGGCAUUGGCUUCUAUGGGCAGUGUUAUUGCUGGCUGCAGCUGGGGCUGGAGAAGGCUCCCCGGGCCAACAGGGUUCAAGCGCCUCCUCAGAGCACUGUGAAUGUCCUUUUGAUCACAUCUGCAAAAUAAGCAAAUAUGGUUUCAAAACAAACGGAGCUCGCCGCAUGGGUUUCAUUAUGAAGUGGCCUUCGUACUCCCGACACCAGGGGAUCCCUCCUCCUGGCCUCUGGUGACGUCAGCGCCUCAUCCUCACUCCCUGAACAAAGCCUGGGAAUGACCUGGCCGCGUCCUCUUUUUUUCUGUUGUCGCUGUGCUCAUUGGAGGGGUGCAGCCUGGGACGCUGUUUCCCCCCUUUCAGAAGGAUGGAGUCGCUCUGGUGUUUGCAUUCUCUUUGCACAUCGUAGUGGCAACCAUUGGUCACCACUGUCCUUUGAGAGGCCCCUAUAAGCCAUGUCUGGGUGACCUCUUUCUUUUCCCAGUGGUUUGCCUGUGGUCACAUAUUUCUGGGUAGUCUACAGCAUAAGGAGGAAACAGUUGGUCAGAGCAGCUCUUCCUAGGAAUAGGAAGUGAGGUUCCCAGGGUCUCUCCAUUUCUGGCAAAAUGGCUGGUUUAUUCUAGAAGGUGGACAGGCUGUAGCGUUAGAAAAUAACAUCCUGUGUGCCUUACUGGCUGUGUGACCUUGGGAAAGCCACUUAAUCCUGUUUCCAGCUAUACAGUGAGGUAAUCGUCAUGCCCCAGGCUUGAAGACUAAAUGAGGUAGUUUGCAUCUAGCUUUAUAAACUGCUGCACACUGUGCAGUGAGUCAAGGUGAAGAGUGGUGGCUUUGGACUUGGAUAGGCUGGAUUUGAAUUGCAGUGCUGAUCCCUACUAAUACAGUACGUACUGAGUCUCAGAUUCCUCAUCUGUCCAGUAGAGAUGCCAGCUCCUGUCUCUGGGGGUGGUAGUUUACUUGUUCAUUUUUGCAGUGAGGAUUUUUUGAACAGUACUGUGUGCGAUGCUCUGCACCCAGUCCUGGAGCGUCAAUGACAAAUAUGUGGAUUUUAGACCGUAAUAUAGUCAAAGCACCUAGCAUUUAACUCUUCAUGUUCAAGGCACCUGUUUAAAUGGCUGGCCACCAGGGAGGAAGCUGAACAGGAGGCCAGCUGCUCAGAAGAUUCUUCUGCCACCUGCCCCCAGAGCUCUCAAAAUAAAAUGCAGUCUUUACAAGGCCUGGAAUAAUAGACACCUGCCUCCGAACAGAAAGCAAACCUUCGCAGUCUCUGACACAAUUCUUCCUUCUGCUGGCUCUGGGAUGCUGCUAGGAUCUGCGAAUCCUGGACCGUGAAAGAAUCUUGAGGGUUGUUUUCCAAUCUUGUUUCAGUAAUUAUGCCCGUAAAGUCUUAAGUGAUGUGCCCAAGAUAAAGCCCAGUGAAUCAGUAUCCAUUACAUUGUUGUCUUUAUUUCCCUGGAGUUUGACAGUGCUUGUCACACAGUAGGUACUUUACACUGUUUGAUUUUGGAAAGAAGGGGUGACAGCCAGGAUUAGGACUCACAUGUUUGACUUCAGGCAAAUUCUCUUUUCAUCAUCUCACACCCAUUUCGAAGGUUUUUAAAAAUGUGUCUCAUCUGGUGUUGAUCUGUCUUCUGGCUGGAUCUGCUCAGCUCUUCCUGACUCAGCAUUUCACUGAAAACAUAUUUAGAAGGGUACUUGUUGCAAAGGCAGGCAGACACAUGGCCGCAAGCUGGCCUCCAUGUUCAAAAGAGCCCAUAUCAUCAGUGUCUGGACAGGGGGAACAUUAAAAUGGAUGCCCUGUUACCCCCCAGUGGAAUAUGAACAGUGUGGUCCUUCUUGGGGGCCCUCUCUGGUGCCUCUCUAAGUGUGGGUCCAUCUUAUGUAUUUCAAGGGUGGAGGUCUUCUGCCCAGGGAAUCUAUAGAAAUGCUACUGGUUUAAACUUGUAACCAUGAAACCCUGUCACAUGUUGCUGCAGUCGUGGCAUGAGCCAUGUAGCUUGUUCCUUCCCCUUCUCUGCCUGAUGUUCAUUUGCCAUGAGCAUGUCUGGCAUCAGAAACUAUCUGGCCACUAAGAGAUGGCGUGGCUUCCAAAAAUAUUCACAUAGUCGGUCAUCAGAAAGAAUGACAGCAAUGUGCUGCUUUGGGUUGCAUUCCAUACUGUAUGGAGAGGCCCCCUGAAGCCUUCUCCACAGUGGAGUAAGCCUACAUCUACUAAAAUAGACACCCAGCAUAGCAUUAAUUUGCAAUUAAUAAGAAUGGGCCAGAUUCACAUCCUGCUCUCUUAGAGAAUGGAAUGCUGACAAUUCCCAUAGAAGCCUCCUGUAAAAAUGUCUGACAAUGAGACAUCCAUGUCUUACAAUGACCCCAGGGCCAGCUGACCUCCCUAAAGAGGGCUGAGAAUCUGGUGAGCUCCCAGAGCUCAGAGUAGAGGGGCAUAGGGGAAAUGGCCUGUCACCCCUGGUGACAAUGGAAAUGCGGCUGUUUCAGAUAAGAAAAGAUGCUUUGAAUGGCAGGGGCUACGAUGAGACAGAAACCUCCUAGGCUUAACAAGACCAAGUAGGACAGCUCAGGAUUGGGGCCUCUGGGCUUUGAUUAUAUGAAUGUGAGAGCUCUGAAUUCGUGCGUUAAUUAAUCCAUUCAUUUGUUCAUUCAUCUGUGUGUGUGUAUGUGUGUGUGUUUGUGUGUGUGUGUGUGUGUGUGUACCUAUCCAUGCAUGCCUGCAUUCACUUUUCCAUUCUUGCUUAUAUUCAUUCAGCCAAUUUUGUAUGUCCUGUGGGCAAUAUUUAUUGGACCACAAAUAUCUACUGAGUUCCUACCAUUACCUGGCCUGUGCUGGAAGCUGGGAGUUUAAUAGUGAACCAGAUGGCUGGAUCCUUGUCUUCUUGGGGCUCAGAAUCAGGCAGUUGCUAAAGCAGCAGUAAUAAUGAGCCAUGAAGAGAUACAGAGAUGAAUGAGGAAGAUAAGGUACCUACCCUAAUGGACUUUAGGAUUCUAGUUGAGGACACAAGCAAUAAGCAAAUAAAUACAUAGUGCAAUUGGUGGUGAAGAAAAUCCAUGCAAGGUGAGGAGAAUGGCAGGUGCUAUUUAACUAGGGUGGUUAGACAAGGCCGUUGCAUAGGACUCGAACUCCUCAGAUCCAUAAAGCUUUCUCUGGUUUCCUAGCCUUUGCACACACGUUUCUUCUGCUUGGAAUGCUCUUCCCACUGCUGUUUGCCUAUGCCUCCUUUGAGUCUCAGCUUGAAUGCUUCUUCUUCCAGGAAGCCUUCCUGAUCCUUGUCCCUUAGCAGGGCCAAAUGGCCCUGCUGUGUGCCUCAUAGUGCCCUGUGUAAUAACGUUGUGGAAGUGCUGAGCAGGAAGUGGUGGGUCUGUUAACUAUGGAUGGACCAGAAAGCCUUUGCUGAAGCAGUGGUGGUUAAACUGGGCUUUGAAGUGGGUAGAAGUUUGGUAGAAAGGAAUGUGAUGAUGGCCUUGCAAGGGGAAGGAAUAGCAAGCACGAGGACAGGGCAUGGGGGCUGGAAAAGGAAAGUGACUUUUAUUGAGCCCCUGCUAGAAGCCAGAGCCAUGUGCCAGAACUUCUGCACACCUUACUUUGUGUUCUCAGAGUGUCUCUACUGGGCUGGGUCUGAUCGUCCCCAUUUUACAGAAGAGAAGGCUCCCACAGCUGAAAACCAAUGUGGCUGGCUGCAUAUCGAAGGCUAUUUGACUUUAAAGACCAGACACCUGAUAAAGUCUACCCUCUGCUAUUAUCAUCCAAAUUUGCCCUAAAUCCAAGAGAGUGUCACACAAGGGCACUUCUUUGGUCCUUGCUUCAGUCAGCCUUACCUUGUCUGUAGGCAGGCUGCAGACAGCCGUCCCUGGGAGAGACUCUCCAAGUGCUGAUGGUGGCCGAUGGCCAGGUAGCCUGAGGUUUGGUGGCCAGAGCAGCCAUGCAGGGACAGUAGAGUUGAAUGUGCUGUGAGCCUGGACGGACUGUUCACUAGCGUCCCCUGAGAGGCUGCUUCUUGGAGGCAUGCCCUCAGUUAAGAGCUUCCCCAGAUCACUUGGGGUCAGUCAUUUCCAGGCUCCCUCAAGAGGCGAUGUAAGCUUAGAUCUUCCGAAGAUGAAAGCUGACCCCAUUCAUUUCUGCUCAUUGUUCCACUCCCUACCUUCACUUCCUGACAGCUCGGGAGCAAGGCUGUCAUGGAUAAAGCCACAGCAAUUAACUCCAUGGCCGGAAAGGAGCUAUGGAGUGUGUCUUCCUCUAUGGGGUUACCGUCUUCCUAAAGAGUUACGCAGAAAGCCCAUUUCCUCCUCCGCCAGCUGGAAGCAAUAACUCCCCUUUACGUGGAGCUUUAUUGCCCAGGCAGCUCUUCACUGGCUUCACCUUACUGCCUGGGCCUCAGUUUCCUCAUCAGCAAAAUGGAGAUAAUAAUGGUACCCCUCCUCAUAGGGUGGUUGAGGGGACUUGAUACAUUCAUAUAUGUGGUGCUGACAGAACAGCGACUCCAUGUAGUCAUGCUGCUGUUACUAUUAUCUCAUUAAAUCUGGUUUUGCUUUUCAUAACACCAUGUGGGUGGUGCCGUUGCAACUCCAUUUUCCAACAAAGGAAACAGACUCAGGUAAAGUAACAAUUGCUCACAUUUUUUGAAGGCUUACUAUGUGCAAGGCAUGGCUUAAGCUCUUUCCAUCUAUUAGCUCAUAUGAUUUGUGUGUGGCCGUUUAUAUUCUGGGAGGUAUAGGUUACAUUCUAGGGGCUUUACACGCAUAUCCUCCCAUCCUCCCAAUGGUUUAUUACUACCAUUUUGCAGGUGAGGAAAUCGAGUGAUGUGGCAGGCUCACCAGUCACAGAGUGGUGCCAAGUGCAAGGUUAGCUCCAGGUUACCUGGCUCCCAAACCUCUGAUCUGUCCGGCUCGCUGCACUUCCUCUUAGAUACUGCGAAUGACUAUCAGACCACAGCUUUUAUUAUCAUUGUCAUCAGCGUCUUUUCCCAGAGCUUAAUCACCAGCAAGCUGAUACUUCCUAUUUCAUCGGGUGAACGCAGAGUGAUGAUUCAGGGAUCUGAGGCUAAUUCUUUUUUAAGUGAUGUUAAGUAUAUGUAACUAACAUAAAGUUUGCCAUUUUUAGGUGGGUGGUUCUGCGGCAUUAAGUGCAUUCCCAUUGUAGAGCAACCAUCAUGCCACUGAUCUCCAGAAUUUUUGUGUCUUCCCACACUGGAACUCUAUUCCCAUUGAACACUAACUCCCCAUUCCUCCUUCUCCCCAGCCUCUGGCACCUGCUAUUCCACUUCCUGUCUCUAUGAAUUUGACCCCUCUGCAUGCCGCAUGUAAGUGGAAUCAUGCACUCUUUGCCCUUCAGUGUCUGGUUGUUUCCUUUAGCACAGUGUCAUCAAGGUUCAUCCAUGUUGAGCUGAGGUCAAUUCUUUUGAAGUGUGAACAAUCGCUUCCUAGUUUAUUUUUCUAACUCUGGUUUUCAUCAGCAGGCAUAAAAAGACUCCAAAAAUUCAAGACAGGAGUACUGACUUACCAGGUUCCUUUUCAGAGUCCAGAUAGAACUGAACAGCCCAGUGUGGGACAUGGUUCUGACCCAGUACAGGGCAAGGGAACAAUACAUCCCCUGUAGAAAUGCAGAGCGGUUACCCUUCUAAGGUCACCAGUGUGUUGGCAAAAUGUGACUGUAAGAGCAAUGCCAGCUGCCCUUUGGCAGAGUUACCCUGUGUGCAGCUGUUGUUCUGUUGCAGAGAAAGUGUCCAGGGUGCGAAGACCCUAAUGAUCGUGUCAUUGUUCUCAUCUCUGUGACCUUCAGGAUUCGCUUAUCUCUUAGGGCUCCUUCAGGUUGAAACCAUUUGUAGGAUUUGGUUGCUUUUGUUUUAUGAUGUUUAAAAUCAUUAUUCCCCAAGUUCAGCUUUCCCAGAUUUCCCAGAUUUCUUUUCUUUCUCUCUGUUCAUGGAUUUUCAAAUAAAAACUGUAUUUAUUUGAAAGAGGCCUUACAUAAUUACCUUAAAUGGAAAACCAGUCUUUUUUUGAGUAGCAGGAGUUAAUAAAGUUACCUACAUGUAUCUAAAGGGGGGAAGCAGAUCUUUAUUGAGUUCCAGCUCUGUGUUGAUUACUUUUUUAAGCAUUUUACAUACUUUGUGUCACUUAAUUUUCACCAUGACGUUGUGCAGGUAGAUUCUAUUCCUACCUCCAUCUAACAUGAGAAAUUGAGGAUUUGAGAAGUUUCAUAACCAGCAGCUAUUUCCUUUCUUAAAGUUGAUAUAAGCUCCAUAUUGCAUGAAAUCUUACCGCCACAGUCUGGAUUUAAGUGGCUCAAGGUGUGAGAGCUAUGCAUAUGUGUAUAUGUUGAUUAAUAUUGCUUUUCUGCUGAAGUGCCAAGAACAUGGGCUAAUCUACAUGUCUAUUAAUCUUAUGUCAGCGACAGUGACAGUUUUACUGGGAGAGGCUGAUAAACAUCAGUCUACGAGGAUGGGAAUGGGCUAUAACAUAAACACGCUCUCACAAUGGCUACAGAGAAAGCAGGGAUGCCCAGAAUUGGAGAUCUCUCAGCGAGAGUGUGUACACGUGGGGAUUUGCAUGUGUUGGCGGUGGGUACCUCUCACGCAUGUGUGUAUUUGGAAGCUCAUAUGGUGCUUCCGAUGCUGCAGACACUGCGGGUGGGAAGGGCAUGUAUGUUUUCCUCUGGAUGCGCUCUGUGCUAUGUUGGUUUCUGUCUUAGCCACAGUCAGGGAGGAUGAAGCGCUGGGACUUCUCAGGAUGGUCCAGGGCUGCAGCCAUUCUGUGCCAAUUCUGAUUGACAGGGCACACUUCAUAAAGCUUCCAGCCAACUUCCUGCAAGGGACUCAGGGGCCAUGAUAAGAAAGUGGAAUUCAGGGCAAUUAAGUGCAAUCUGAGCCCUGAGAAUGUGUUUUCUGAGGGGCGGCCAUACAGCCAGCUGCUUUCAAUGACAUUCCAUUCAUUCAGGGACAACUUUUACAAAAUAGGCUUAUUCUGUGGGCUGCAUACAAAACAGAGCCUCUGUGGCAUUCGGGUUGGGCUGCUCUCUGGGCAUGAGAAUCACUCUGCCUGUAUUAAAGCCUCAAAUGGAAAUCAGCUCCGGGGGUGGCAGAAGCUUGCAGUGGCUCAACUUGUAGGACUGGAGUGAAAUUUGCAGAUUCCCCAGGGCCGUGUGCACAGCGGUUUGACACAGGGGUGUACAUUGCUGCUUACUAGUUAACUCCCCUGGGAUGAAUAACCUCAUCUCCCUAAACUUCAGUGUCCUUAUCUAUUAAAUAGGUUUUUAAAAAAUUGUGAUAAAAUAUCCAUAAUGUAACAUUUAUCAUUUUAACCAGUUUUAGAUGCAUGGUUGAGUGACAUGAAAUAUAUUCAUAUUGUUGUGUGAAUGGGGUUUUAGAUGGAAUUUGAUUAGAGACUGUAAAGUAUUCAGAACACUGCCUAGUACUUGGAGGUCGUUCAGUAAGGGGCAGCUAAUUUGUUUAUUAUUAUUUUGCAUCUCUUAAUGAUCUUGUGCUUUUCACAAUAUACUACCUGCUUUAGAGACAGGUAUUUCUUGGGUGGGGGCAGGUACUAAGCAGUGGAUUUGACAAAGAUGAAAGAUGUGGAACCUGCCACUUACUUGGGGGACUCAGAGUCUAACAGGCAAGGAAAACUUAAAAAUAUAUACAUACAUACAUAUUAUAUGUAUAUAUGUGAUGUGUAUAUAUAUGAUAAUAUAUAUGUAUAUAUACAGGGAAGAGUGCUGCCAUAAAGGAUAAUAAAUAAAACAUGUCAAGAAACCAGAGAAGAGAAUGAUUCCAAGGUGUAUACAAUACACAGAAAGCAAGGUUAGGUAAAAAUUUGCAUGGAGCUUGAAGACCUAAAGGUUAUAAAGUAUUUUUACAUUCAUGGUCUCAUCUUGGUUGAUACAUCUACUUUCUUAUUAUUCUCACAAUUAUCCUGCAAUCUGAAACAGGAUAGCAAUCCUGGAUUCCCAUUUUCUCGUGAAUAGAUUGAGGCUCAGAGUAGCUAAGUGGCCUGCUCCAUGUUACCCAGAUGGCUAGGGGCAAAGUUUGGGCUGAAAUAUGAUGACUCAACACCCAGAGCUCUGGGUCCAUUUCUGGUUUUCCAAAGUGUGAUAUGCACACAGCCAUGGAGGCAGCGUGAUGUUAGUAAGCCCCAGAUGGACAAGUUUCUGACUGAUAGUUAUACUUUAAUGUUUUAUCAGCAACAUCAAGCCUCUAAUUUGGUGUAUAUUUCUCAGGGCAAGUCCAAAUUGAAGGGAAAGUAGGAGUCCAUGUAAGAAGUAACUUUAAGUAAGUAAGAGAGCUUGCAGGAUACAGUUAGGGCAGAACUUGUGAUGGAUGCCAGGGAGGGCAGCUGGGAAUCACUGUCUCAGUCACGUUAACUGGAGACUCAGGACUGGAUUGAAAAUGGCCAUCCAGCCACCAGACCCACCGAGGUGCCCCUCCCACGCUCCAGUGCGUGUGGUGGGAGUUGCUCCAUUGCAGAUACUUCCUGGAACACUAACAGGCCUCCUGGUUCUUGCCUCUCU